rnacentral:rRNA from 1 species
UACGGAGGGGGCUAGCGUUGUUCGGAAUUACUGGGCGUAAAGCGCACGUAGGCGGAUCGGACAGUCAGAGGUGAAAUCCCAGGGCUCAACCCUGGAACUGCCUUUGAAACUCCCGGUCUUGAGGUCGUGAGAGGUGAGUGGAAUUCCGAGUGUAGAGGUGAAAUUCGUAGAUAUUCGGAGGAACACCAGUGGCGAAGGCGGCUCACUGGCACGAUACUGACGCUGAGGUGCGAAAGCGUGGGGAGCAAAC